rnacentral:rRNA from 1 species
AACGAACGCUGGCGGCAGGCCUAACACAUGCAAGUCGAACGCUCUCUUCGGAGGGAGUGGCAGACGGGUGAGUAACACGUGGGCACCUACCCCUUGGUACGGAAUAACUGAUGGAGACGUUAGCUAAUACAGUAUGAGCGCUGAGGCGGACAGAUUUAUCGCCAAGGGAUGGGCCCGCGUAGGAUUAGCUAGUUGGUGGGGUAAAGGCCUACCAAGGCGACGAUCCUUAGCUGGUCUGAGAGGAUGAUCAGCCACACUGGGACUGAGACACGGCCCAAACUCCUACGGGAGGCAGAAGUGGGGAAUAUUGGACAAUGGGCGCAAGCCUGAUCCAGCCAGGCCGCGUGAGUGAUGAAGGCCUUAGGGUUGUAAAGCUCUUUCACCGGAGAAGAUAAUGACGGUAUCCGGUGAAGAAGCCCCGGCUAACUUCGUGCCAGCCGCCGCUGUAACAC